rnacentral:rRNA from 1 species
UCCGUAGGCGGUCAGGUAAGUCAGUGGUGAAAGCCCAUCGCUCAACGGUGGAACGGCCAUUGAUACUGUCUGACUUGAAUUAUUAGGAAGUAACUAGAAUAUGUAGUGUAGCGGUGAAAUGCUUAGAGAUUACAUGGAAUACCAAUUGCGAAGGCAGGUUACUACUAAUAUAUUGACGCUGAUGGACGAGAGCGUGGGUAGCGAACA